rnacentral:lncRNA from 1 species
AGUAAAAAUGCAAAGGAAGGGAGAGGGAGCUCCUCCUACCUCAACUCCUGCUGGUCUCUGCACAGGGGAGGCCCUAAGGGGCGUGGGGUGCACUUAUAGAAGUGCUACAAUAGCAAAAACACCCCUGCAGACCAAACUGCACAAAAACUGCCUCCUUGUACCGGUACACGGGCUCUUGUACCGGUACAAGGCCCACGAAAAUGCAAACCCGAGGCUCGGGUCACGGGGUCUGCGGCUCUAUACCGGUACAAGCCCGAUGGCUGUACCCGUACAACCAUCAACCUUGUACCGGUACAAGACCAACCUUGUUCCGGUACAAGCUCUGUUGCAGGCUACCCGAGAGCCGACCAAAAAUUCCAGUUUCGGGAUUUUGGUGCCAAGUCUCAAUCCAACAUCCUCGGGAUGCGUGCCCAGGAGUCGGAACACUAUCAACGACCCUCCAAAAACUGUGGAGAGGCUCCACACACAGAUCAAACACUCGAAUCUUGCGAUUUGCAAGAUCCAGUGCAUUACAUUCACCCCUCCUGAAAAGGAGUUUCGUCCGCGAAACUCAAAAGCAAACGUCAUACCUCAAGACUCCAUCGGAAAAAGAUGGGGAUAGCGCUCCUGCAAAGCGCUCUCCAACUCCCACGUAGCCUCUCGCUCCUCGUGGUUGCUCCAAAGAACCUUCACAUACGGAAUAUCCCGAUUCCGAAGCUUUUUCACCUCGCGAGCCAAAAUCUUCACGGGUUGCUCCUUGAAGCUCAAAUCCUCAUGCAGCUCCACUGGUAUAGCUCCCAAAACAUGAGCUGGAUCAUGAAUAUACUUCCGAAGGACCGAUACAUGAAAGACGUUGUGCACGCCGGAUAGGUUCGGUGGUAGAGCAAGUCGAUACGCUACCGGACCUACACGCUCCAAGAUCUCAUACGGUCCAAUGAAACGGGGACUCAACUUUCCCCGAAUCCCAAAUCUUUUGAUUCCUCUAGUUCGCGAGACCUUCAAGAAAACAUGGUCUCCAACUUGGAACUCCAAGUCUCGCCGUCGUCAAUCGGCGUAGCUCCUCUGUCUACUCUGCGCCAUCAAAAGUCGCUCCCGAGCAAUUCGAAUCUUGUCCUCAGCUUCCUGGAGCACAUCAGGGCCUAAAGCCAAUCUCUCGCCGACUUCACUCCAAUGAAGUGGCGAUCUACACUUCCGUCCAUAAAGUGCUUCGAAGGGCGCCAUCUUGAUGCUUGCUUGAUAACUGUUGUUAUAAGUAAACUCCGCCAUAGGUAGAUGCUGCGACCAUCCUCCCUGGAAGUCUAUCACACAUGCCCGGAGCAUAUCCUCUAAAGUCUGAAUAGUGCGCUCCGACUGUCCAUCACUCUGCGGGUGGAAUGCUGUACUGAAAUCCAAUCGGGUGCCUAAGGCGUCCUGUAGACUCCUCCAAAAGUGAGACACGAAGCGCGUGUCGCGAUCAGAUACAAUCGAUGUAGGCACUCCAUGAAGUCGCACAAUCUCAUCAAGGUACACUUGUGCGAGCUUCUCUCCGGUCCAAGUCGUAUGAAUAGGUAUGAAGUGCGCCGACUUCGUCAACCUAUCCACGAUCACCCAAAUAGCGUCAUGCCCCGCCUGUGAGCGUGGCAAUCCUGUCACAAAGUCCAUGGUGAUCUUCUCCCACUUCCACACGGGAAUAGGCAAACUCUGAAGUUUUCCCGCGGGAACUCGGUGCUCAGCCUUUACUUGUUGGCAAGUUAGACAACGAGCUACAAACUCGCCAACGUCCUUUUUCAUCCCGGGCCACCAAUAAAGCAACUUUAGAUCCUUGUACAUCUUGGUGCCUCCCGGAUGUAUAGCAUACGGCGCUCGGUGCGCUUCUUGAAGAAUAUCUUCUUUAAUCCCCGAAUCCGCGGGUAUACAAAUCCGCCCACGGAAACGCAUCAAUCCCUGAUCGUCCAAAAGGAAGUCGCCGGUGCAACCAUCAACCAUUUUACCUCGAAUCUUUUGCAACUCCACAUCGGAAGCUUGCUUUUCUUUAAUUCUAUCCAAAAGAGUAGGUUGCACUACCAAAGUCAUCAAUCUCAAGGGUGUGUCAGGAGUCACCACCUCCAACUCCAACCGCUUCAUCUGCUCGAUCAACUGCGGUUGAGUCACAACAUGCAUCGCUAAGUUUUCCAUCGAUUUCCUACUUAGCGCAUCCGCCACCACGUUAGCCUUACCCGGGUGGUAAAGGAUCGUCAGAUCAUAAUCCUUGAGCAGCUCCAACCAUCUGCGCUGUCUCAGGUUCAACUCCUUUUGAGUAAAUAGGUAUUUCAAGCUCUUGUGAUCCGUGUACACUUCACACCGCUCGCCAUAAAGAUAGUGGCGCCAUAGCUUCAAUGCGAACACUACAGCCGCCAACUCCAAAUCAUGCGUAGGGUAGUUCUUUUCAUACUCCUUCAGUUGGCGAGAAGCAUACGCGAUCACCUUGCCAUCCUGCAUCAAUACACAGCCCAAACCAUUAAGUGAAGUAUCACUAUAAACCACAUACCCUGCUCCAGCUACUGGUAGGGUCAAGAUCGGGGCGGUAGUCAAUCGUUGCUUCAACUCUUGGAAGCUUCUCUCGCACGCAUCAUUCCAAAUGAACUUGACUCCUUUAUGCGUGAGCCUCGUAAGGGGAGUAGAUAACCUUGCAAAUCCCUCAACGAAUCUCCGGUAGUAACCGGCCAAUCUAAGGAAGCUCCGUAUCUCCGUGACGCUCGUCGGUCUCGGCCAAUCCUUGAUUGCUUCAAUCUUCUUAGGGUCCACGGCUAUACCCGAUCCAGAAAUCAAGUGUCCAAGAAAGGCUACCUCUCGGAGCCAAAAUUCACAUUUCUUCAACUUGGCAUAAAGCUCCUUUUUCCGAAGUACUUGGAGUACAAUCCUCAAUUGCUCCUCAUGAUCUGCAUCACUUCGAGAAUAGACCAAAAUAUCGUCGAUGAACACCACGACGAACCUGUCUAGAUAAGGCUUGAAAACACGGUUCAUUAGAUCCAUAAAAGCUGCCGGAGCAUUAGUAAGCCCGAAAGGCAUAACUGUGAACUCGUAAUGUCCAUACCGUAUUCUAAAAGCCGUCUUCGAUACAUCCUCAGGUUUGAUCUUCAAUUGGUGGUAUCCCGACUGUAAGUCUAUCUUGGAAUACACACACGAUCCCUGAAGCUGAUCAAACAAGUCGUCGAUCCUUGGCAACGGAUACUUGUUCUUGAUCGUGACUUUGUUAAGUUCACGAUAAUCCACACAAAGGCGAAGUGAUCCGUCUUUCUUCUUGACGAACAAAACUGGUGCUCCCCAAGGUGAAACGCUCCGGCGAAUAAAACCCUUGUCCAACAAAUCCUGCAGCUGUGCCCUCAGCUCCCUCAGCUCCGCCGGUGCCAUCCUAUAGGGCGCCUUUGAGAUUGGGGUAGUCCCAGGGACGAGAUCUACCACAAACUCAAUCUCCCUAUCAGGAGGCAUACCCGGUAGCUCAGCUGGAAACACAUCCUGAAACUCCCGCACCACCGGGAUAUCUUCGAUCCUAGGGGUAUCAUCCUCGCCCCUUAACACCACACUAGCCAAAUAGGCUACGCAACCUCUGCUGAUCAGCUGCCUAGCUCGAGACGAGCUGAUCGUCAUCGCAAACAGCGAACUCCGGCAUCCACAAAAUACCACCUCGGUCUGUCCCGGUUCUCUAAAAGUGACCAUGCGAUUCUUACAAUCAAUCGUGGCAUAAUACUUGGUCAACCAAUCCAUGCCCAAGACCACGUCAAAAUUCCUCAGCUUGCGCAAAGCUAGCAAAUCUAUAGGCAUGAUCCAAUCUCCUACCCGAAUAGGGCAACUGGGGCUAUACUCUCUAAUAUCCAAAAUAUGGUCGGGUACAACAACGUGUCCCGUAUGCAACAAAGAAACCAACGGGAUGCCAUGCAACUCGGCAAACAGCCGAUCUAUGAAUGAAUGCGAUGCACCGGUAUCAAAUAAAGCACGAACUCUAAUGCCAUCAAGCAAAAUAAUACCUGCAACCACAUCCUCGGCUGCUGCCGUCUCCUCGGUCUGAGCGGCGUAUAUGCGCCCACUCGGGGCUUGUCGAGAUCCCUCGCUCUGGCGCUGGACAGGUGGCCGCCCAGGCUGGUACUGUGUCGAUGGAGUCCCCUGGCUGGCGGCUGGUAGAGCCGGUGCCGAUGCAGUCGACGGUGCCGGUGAAGAACCUCUCGGGCACUCGGUACGCACGUGGCCCUCCUGGCCACACUGGAAACACCUGCCCGCCCGCUGUGGACACUGCGGUGGGUAAUGGGGACCACCGCAGAUCACACACGGGGAAGGCCGGCGCCGAUCGGAUCCUCCUCGCUGUGCUGCUGAGCCGCGUCCACGGUGCUGGCUCCUCAGAUGCUUCGGCGGCCUCCUAGAGUGCGUCUGGCUCGCACCCUCAGCCGCAGGCCUCUUGGCCUUCCCUCUGUCCCUAGCCUCACGCUGCUCCUGGACCUCUGUCGCGCCGCUCUCCACGAUGAGCGCGCGAUCCACCACCUCCCGGUAGGUUUGGAGGUUAGAGGAUUGCACAAACCGGAAGAUCGACGGUCGCAACCCUCGCUUGAAGAUGCGGGCCUUGUCCUCGUCAUCCCGCACGACGAAGGGCACGCAAUGCAGAAGCCGAGAGAACUCCCUCUCGUACUCGGCUACAGUCCUGUCACCCUGGCGCAAGCUACGCAAAUCCUGUUCCAUCUUCCUCUUGACGCUGGUUGGAAAGUAGUGCGCCAAACGAGGCUCCUUGAACCUCGUCCAAGUAAUGGCUGCCAAAUCUGUGCGGGGGUUCUGCUGGAGAUCCAACCACCAACGGUAGGCCUCGCCGUCCAAAUGGUGAGUGGCGAGCCAAACUCUGUCCCUCUCCUCCACGAAGGUGUCGCGGAAGAGCUUCUCCAUAUACAUCAACCACUUCUCCACGAUCCAGUGGUCGACUUUCUCGCCGUGGAAGACUCGGGGGCUGCACCUCCUAAACUCGUUGAGGCGCUCCAUCAGUCUAUCUCGCUCAGCCCCCCCAACCAAAAUAGGGAAUGCAGCUCCAACCGGGGGCCUCUGCACAGGCGGUGCUACCAAAACCUCCUCCUGGAGUGCGGCCGCAGUCGCCGCACGCGAAGAACUGGGCGCGGGGGACGGCGCUCUCGGUGCAACGUGCACAACUGGUGCUGGCGGUGUAGGGGCCUGAGUCUCCCUAGAAGCUGCCGCUUGCUGCAAUAGUAGAUCCUCCAGACGCUUCAUCCGCGCCUCCUGUCGGCGUGCCGCCUCAGUCUGCUGUCGGGCCACCUCCGCCUGCUGAGUGACCAAAUCAGUGAGGGCCGCAAGCUGGCCCCUCAGCUCACGGACCUCGCUGGAUCCGGAGGUAGCGGAGGUCUCGACCUCCUCGAAGUUUGCCGCAUUGUCGGCCCCGGCAGAUUGGGAGCGAGUAAUCGGCAUCGUCACUACAACAUCAUAAAAACGCAAGUUAGAAAUACUCACGCUAUCGCAUCCCCGCUCAAAAGACAAACCCCAAAUCAUGCGAAAGUAAGGAAGUGUUAUCCACAACUAAUUCCAGAUGUUACGUUGUCGGCCGCCAACGUAACCCUCCGCGAAGUUAGAAGCCAAACACUCCAAUCAACUCUAACUUUUUAGAGUUAUCAUAAUACCCAAUCAUGAUACUUUCGCUCACAAGUCGAAUAGACCUCGUCUCUCACGAGCCUAUUUUCUAUAGUCCAACCGGCCUAAGGUUUGCUAGGUCCCCUAAGACAUAACCCUAGGCUCUGAUACCAAAUUAAUCUGUCACGCCCCAGGACCCGGCGGAAGCCCGCCCGGCACGUGCCCAGACCCGCCAUACGUCUAAAACAUAUAAGGCGUCUAAAAACAACAAUAAUAGAAGUAAUAGUAAAAGACAUCUAGGAGUAUCAGAGCAUAGUAAAUGUCUAAAUGCUACAACAAAGGAUAAGGAUGAAACUGUAAAUUCACUAAAUAAGACAUAAAGUGAUACAAGUGCUAUAGGUAGAUACAUAGGUGGUCUCUAUACAUGGAUACAAAACCUCUCACUCUCUCAACUGCAAAAAGAAAGAGUAAACCACCUAGGCAAAGUGCCACUCCUCGCUAGCUAGCUAAGCGAUCCCCUUGCCGCGAUCCCGUGCCUCCGCCGGUGCCGAAGGCUCUGAAAAGUAAACAAUAAAACGGGGGCGUGAGAAUUAUUAAAAAUAGUUUCUAGUGGGCAAUUACUGACUUCAGUGAAUGCACCACGACGCCCAAAGUUACAAAAGAUGUUAGUGACUAUAAAAGUAGAAAAGCGAAAUGUAAGUAAAAAUGUAACUUACUACAACAUGAUAUCUCUACUUAGCAUAAUUAGCAUAAGUAUGAAGCAACUAUGCAUAAAGUAAAAGUCUCCAACUAUCAUAAUGCUCACAAUGCGAAAUAGUAAAGUUCCGUUGUUUACUAUUCUAGUCAAUGUCCAAGUAGUACACUAAGUCAUCAUCUGUCCACAUGUCAUAGUGAAUACUCAAAGUCAAAUCUGAAGAGACCCACCCGAAGGCUGUCUAUGGCCCUGAGACCCACCCGUAGGCUGUCUGGCCGGUGCCGAGCCUAAUGGCCCCGUGGUAGUCAUCAUCCCCACCCUAGGAAUGAGCCUGUCCCACGGCAAUCCAUUUCGGCGCCCAAUCCCGCACGGCGAAUAUGAUUCGCGAUGGCUAUCUCCGGAGUGCCGGCUUGUAGGGAGCAACCCUCACAAGCAUGUGCGAAUGAGUACAAUGGCAAGUAGUCAAACGAUCUGUCGCAAGUACCAAGUCCUCAUGUCUAAUAACAUGGAAUGUGUCAAGUAUCUCAAUGGCCUAUCCCUAUGUCAUCAUGUCUCUAACAUGGAAUAUAGCAGAUAUAUAGUGGCCUAUCAAUAUGUCUCAAUGUUGCAGUUUCAUAGUUUACUAGUUUCAAGUGCCCCUUGAUGACACUCUUGUUCUCUAUGUCAAAGCAUGGCAACUAUAUUCCAAAGUACAUAUUCUAAGUCAUAAUCCUCAUAAGAGAUGUAUUUUCCACUUGCAAAAUAAACACUUUACUCGUAUGCAUGCAUUCUACUCAUAUAGCUCUACUAUAUAGCGAAAUUUUCAUAAUACACAAGGCAUGCAUUUUAAGUGUUCUAAAAUUCAUAUAAAUUCUAUUUAAUAUAGAAAUUAAUUUAAAAAUAUUUUACAACAAGUAGAAAGAGUAUAGGGGUCAUUUCGUCCCAUUUCCAUGAAGCCAAACCCACCGAUUUUUCGAACUCUUCGUUUCGCCGAACGAAGGUAUCCACAAGCCUCCUAGAACCCUAAGGAUAUAGGAACAAGGGUUACUCGAAUGAAACGAACAACCAAAAGCUCAAACACUAACCAUCUCUUACUAAGGGCCAAAAACUCACCUCUUAUGGAAAAUCUCUUCAUAAGCUCAAAAAGGAGGCUAGAACCCUUCCAAACCAACCAAAAGGAAGCCUCUAAUCCACUCAAUCUAGCUUCAAAAGCCCUAGAUCCAAAAUGCCCAAAUUAAGCCCUAAAAUCUCAUUCUAGGGUUUGAUCUCACAAAAAUCUCAAAUCAAGGAUCAAAGGGAGAAAUCAAGUCUCUAACCUCUCAAGAAGCUCCAAACUUAGCUCCAAACUUAGCUCCAAUCCAAGUGAUGUUGGAGGUCUCCGCAGCCACUAGUUCCUCUCCGAGCUCUAAGCCAUCAACAAUGGUGGAGAAGCCACCAAGAUGCAAAUAGAGGAGAGAAAACCCAAUAAAAACCAAGCAAAAUGAGUAAAAAUGCAAAGGAAGGGAGAGGGAGCUCCUCCUACCUCAACUCCUGCUAGUCUCUGCACAGGGGAGGCCCUAAGGGGCGUGGGGUGCACUUAUAGAAGUGCUACAAUAGCAAAAACACCCCUGCAGACCAAACUGCACAAAAACUGCCUCCUUGUACCGGUACACGGGCUCUUGUACCGGACAAGGCCCACGAAAAUGCAAACCCGAGGCUCGGGUCGCAAGGUCUGCGGCUCUGUACCGGUACAAGCCCGAUGGCUGUACC